CCUACGGGUGGCAGCAGUGAGGAAUAUUGGUCAAUGGACGCAAGUCUGAACCAGCCAUGCCGCGUGCAGGAAGACGGCUCUAUGAGUUGUAAACUGCUUUUGUACGAGGGUAAACGCAGAUACGCGUAUCUGUCUGAAAGUAUCGUACGAAUAAGGAUCGGCUAUCUCCGUGCCAGCAGUCGCGGUAAAACGGAGGAUUCAAGCGUUAUCCGGAUUUAUUGGGGUUAAAGGGUGCGUAGGCUGUGAGGUAAGUCAGCGGUGAAAUGCCCCCGCUCAACGGGGUGAAGGGCCAUUGAUACUGCCUUGCUGGACUGCGGAUGCCGUGUGCGGAAUGUGUGGUGUAGCGGUGCAAUGCAUAGAUAUCACUCAGAACACCGAUUGCGAAGGCAUCUCACGAAUCCGCGAUUGACGCUGAUGCACGAAAGCGUUGGUAUCAAACAGGAUUAGAUACCCCUGUAGUC
rnacentral:rRNA from 1 species